GUGGUUGUGCUUCUAUGUGACUGAUUCUGUGUGGAAGACACCAUUCCAUGGUUCCUUUCCUCCAGUCUCAAAAGUGCUACACUACCCUAGACAUGCAUCCUAAUGAGGCUGGGGUAUGUGCAAGGGAGGUUUACUGAUUUCUCAGAUUCUCAUGUUAUCAUAAAUCGUUUCCAUGUUUUGUUUCUAUCAUGCUCGAAUGAUGCCAUUAAACUUGAGAUUUAAGCUGAUGGGUGUUACCUUUCCCUUGUAACCCCGCUGAACUUGCUAAGCUACUCCCUUCCUUGGUCUUGACCUCUCUUGCUCCUCCGCUUGCUGCUCCGUUUAGUAACUAGUUUGUUGUGUGGUGGGGGAUGGAACUGAGGAGGAGAUUGGCAUAUUUAUGCACAGCUUGUAACUGAAAGCUGCACAAUGACUGAGGUGCACACUAGAGGUGGCACUGUGGGGGCUGAUUUCCGGACUAUAACCGGUUUGGGUAGGGAAAGCAAGGGCUGUUAUCUGCAGCUUUGCAGAGUAUUAGCUGGAGGGGAGCCUGCUGGCUGGAGUUUGCUUCUUUCGGUCCAACACUCACUCACAUUUCUGCAAGAUCACGGAGUUGCCGAGCUUGGUGCCGAACUGCCGAGCUCGGUGCCGAACUGCCGUGCUUGGUGGCGAACUGCCGAACUCGGUGCCGAACUGCCGUGCUUGGUGGCUGCUCGUUUGGCUGGUGUGAGCCGUGGAGUGCAGGGAUAAAGCAACCUCUUACCUUUCUUUUUUUUCGGGACAAGAGGCUGACUCUUCUCGGUUGCUGUCUCGUCUGUUCAGCCCAACGGGCCAUCGGAAACUGGGCCGAAACCAUGCUAGAAGAAGGGCCCGAAGCUAGUAGUUUCAUUUGUAAAGAGAUAGGGUUUCUAUUUGAAAUUCUCUCUUUUUCUUAACAUGUAAAAGUUUAUUGGUGUGUAUUUAAUUCCAAACACUUGAA